GAUGAACGCUGGCGGCGUGCCUAAUACAUGCAAGUCGAGCGAACAGACGCGGAGCUUGCUCCUCUGACGUUAGCGGCGGACGGGUGAGUAACACGUGGAUAACCUACCUAUAAGACUGGGAUAACUUCGGGAAACCGGAGCUAAUACCGGAUAAUAUAUUGAACCGCAUGGUUCAAUAGUGAAAGACGGUUUUGCUGUCACUUAUAGAUGGAUCCGCGCCGCAUUAGCUAGUUGGUAAGGUAACGGCUUACCAAGGCAACGAUGCGUAGCCGACCUGAGAGGCGGAUAGGCCACAUGGGAACUGAGACGCGGUCCAGACGCCUACGGUAGGCAGCAGUAGGGAAUCGGCCGCAGUGGUCGAAAGCAUGACGGAGCAACGCCGCGUGAGAGAUGAAGGUCUUCGGAGCGUAAAACUCUGUUAUUAGGGAAGAACAAAUGUGUAAGUAACUAUGCACGUCGUGACGGUACCGAAUCAGAAAGCCACGGCUAACUACGUG
rnacentral:rRNA from 1 species